AACGAACGCUGGCGGCAGGCUUAACACAUGCAAGUCGAGCGCCCCGCAAGGGGAGCGGCAGACGGGUGAGUAACGCGUGGGAAUCUACCGUACCCUACGGAAUAACGCAUGGAAACGUGUGCUAAUACCGUAUACGCCCUACGGGGGAAAGAUUUAUCGGGGUAUGAUGAGCCCGCGUUGGAUUAGCUAGUUGGUGGGGUAAAGGCCUACCAAGGCGACGAUCCAUAGCUGGUCUGAGAGGAUGAUCAGCCACAUUGGGACUGAGACACGGCCCAAACUCCUACGGGAGGCAGCAGUGGGGAAUAUUGGACAAUGGGCGCAAGCCUGAUCCGGCCAUGCCGCGUGAGUGAUGAAGGCCUUAGGGUUGUAAAGCUCUUUCACCGGAGAAGAUAAUGACGGUAUCCGGAGAAGAAGCCCCGGCUAACUUCGUGCCAGCCGCCGCCGUAACAC
rnacentral:rRNA from 1 species